AUGUCCCACCUCUGCCUCGACCUCCUCUACAAGGACAGGCCACCGCCGCGCCAAGUUCCCUGCUCUGCCACCCUGCACCUCCCCUUGCCGGACCUGCUCCAUCUUCGCCUCCUCGUCAAUCGCCGGUUGCACCAGGCGCCAAGUCCCUGUUUGUCCUCUACUCACAGCUCCAUCCAGGGCCGCCUCUCUUUGUUGACCACCAAGACCCGAGGCCCUUUUGUGUUGCUUCAUGUUGGAUGCGCCAAGAUCCUCUUCGACAAGUGCACGACUACAUGGUGA
rnacentral:rRNA from 1 species